rnacentral:rRNA from 1 species
GUGAGGAAUUUUCCGCAAUGGGCGAAAGCCUGACGGAGCAAUGCCGCGUGAAGGAUGAAGGCCUAUGGGUUGUAAACUUCUUUUCUCAGAAAAGAAUUAUGACGGUAUCUGAGGAAUAAGCAUCGGCUAACUCUGUGCCAGCAGCCGCGGUAAGACAGAGGAUGCAAGCGUUAUCCGGAAUGAUUGGGCGUAAAGCGUCUGUAGGUUGUUUAAAAAGUAUUCUGUCAAAGAUUAGGGCUUAACCCUAGAUAGGCAGAAUAAACUUUUAAGCUAGAGUGUGGUAGAGGCAGAGGGAAUUCGCGGUGGAGCGGUGAAAUGCUUAGAUAUCGGGAGGAACACCAAAGGCGAAGGCACUCUGCUGGGCCAAUACUAACACUGAGAGACGAAAGCGAGGGGAGCAAAUGGGAUUAGAUACCCUGGUAGUCC